rnacentral:lncRNA from 1 species
UCCAAUUUCAAUCGUAUCCUUCGAGGUUGAACGUAAUUAGGAAACAAUGGAUUAAGUAUGCUUCGAGUUACUGAUCCACCAGCCUUGAAUUACGGAUGAAUACCUGGCGGCGUCGAUGCCUCUUCGCGGACGGAUGCAGCUGAAGACGAAGGUAGGAGAUACCGUCAUGCUUUGCUUCCAAAGUUUCAGUUGAAGCUUGCGAUGCCGUUACCGUUUUCUCUUUCUCAGUGUUUUGAAG